CUGUUCAUACGGACAGAGUCUCCCCUGUAUUUGCACGGCGUCACACGAGUACAAGAAGUAACCCAGGUAUAACCACAACCAAAUGAACAUACAAAUAACUAACAAUUAUAUAUUCAUACACCAUUCACAUCACAGGUUCACAUUUAUAUAUUCGAUAUUUAAACAUAAAUCCACAUCUAUCAGUUAAAAUGUUUCCAACCACAGAAACAGGUUUUGAAAUACUAAGAUGCAAAAUCCACAGAAAACCUUUUGAAAACUGUUUCCUACACGGAAACCUUUAUUCUUUAAAAACGCUACCACGAGGGGUAGAAAACCUUUUAUUUGACAAAAUCCAGAAAUUCAUUUAUUACAUUCACGAAAAUCCAUAUUUUUAACUGUAAUAAAAAUACUGAACCAUAUAACUAUCUUAAGCUAUCACAACUGAAACAAUAAGGGUAAUAACUAUACCGAAAUAACCUGGGUCGGAAGCUCUAUCGACCGCUACACACGUACCUCACGUCUCGUCCCACUAUCAUCGCCCCGCGAUACCUGAAAAAUGGUGGGGAGGUGAGAACAUGUAAACAUGUCUCCCCUCCAGUGGGUCCGCAAGCCGAAAAGCGGAGGAGUACUCACCGGAUCAGAAGAGAGCUAUACAACAACACGGAGAAACUAGAUAGACAUAAGUGCUGGUAAGUAAAGAUGCUGAUAAGUAAGGAGCUGACAAGUAUAGAUGCAGGUAAAUAAAACAGUAGCUACAAUAAACAGAUAAGAUGUACUGAAAAUAAACCUUACAACUACUGUAUGCAUGCGUCAACUGACGAAAAGCUCAAAAGUACCCAAUCUCGCUGCCCUAUUGUCCGAAGACCUCAGGCUCAUGCCACACUGCUCAACCUGUACCUGACCUCGCAAUGAAGCCCCUGGGUCAGAAGCACAGGGUACCUGACCCUCGCAAUGAAGCCCCUGGGUCAGAAGCAUAUACCCUCGCAAUAAAGCCCCUGGGCUCACGGGUUGGCAAUCCAACCACUUUUCCGGAAAAGAACACCCUCUUGCGGUGGAUCAGACCGCUGGUGUUCGUGAAAUGCGUACCUGCAGUGGCGAUCAAUGUAGUAUGCUCAAAGAUCAUCCAUCGGCAACUAGCCGACAAUCCAGCCCCUCAGGGCACACCGACCGUAUAGGCCAUCAGCAACUAAUCGGCUACGUAUGUCAAGAUAGAACUGUAGCAACUCGACCGAUCAUGUCACAAGUAUAGGAUAUGAACUCGACCAAUCAUGUCACAAGUAUAGGAUAUGAACUAGGCCAAUCAUGUCACAAGUAUAGAUAUGAACAACCGUCGGCCACUAGCCGACAAUCCGACCCCUCAGGGUACACCGACCUCAACAGUCAUCGGACAACAGAAGUCAAAGGACCGACCAACCAGGUCACUAAUACGAGGUACAAGAAACUACCAACCAGGUCGCAAGUGUAGGAGAUGCAACGUCGACCAACCAGGUCAUGGAGAUCACAUAGAAGAUCAGACCAACCAAAUCAUAAAUAUCAUAUACAGAUAAAGUCUACUCUACUCCUACACAUGAUACUACACCUGGCAACAACUAAGUAGAGUAAUAAGGAAACAGCAUGGGUGCAGGGCUCAACAUAUAUAUGGUAAAAGAUAUAAACAACAAGGGUAAAGGAAACGUCACCGAGCGUGCACCACUGUACCAACGUCGGAUCGAAGUACCCACCUAUACAAGUCUGGAUCAGAUCUCACGACGGCGGGGACAGAGCAACCGGACCUACGAAGGGUCCACUAGGUCAGAAGGAAACCCAAAUGUCAGCAACUAAAAUAAAAUCCCCAAACAAGGAACCACGGGAAUUGGUUUCCCAAGACCGAUUGCCGAAUCACAUCGGGUGUCCCGAAAACCGCACCGAGACUCUGUCGGGUCCACAGAAUUGUCUCGAAACGCACCGAUUCAUACUACGAGUCACCUGCUGCCCCAAAACAUUCCAAUUUGGAUGUUUUGGUAGCAAACACAAGAUAAUACCACUACACAAAUAUCGUCGGAUAAUUGUACGAAUCCGGGUUCCCGAAAGUGUCUAUUUCGACACCGGAACCCACCGUCGCUCACCCGUCAUCACCGAACCCACAAUGUGAUGAUGGUGACCAGUCAACAAGGCUAAGAGACUACUCACAGAGCAACCAAAUGACGUCGGAAGCAAUCCGAACCGAAACCGCGUUCUUUCAGCGAAUUUCGCCGAAAAACGCAUCGAAAUCGACUCUUCGAUUUCCGCAAAAGCUAACAGAUCAUGGACAAUCAGUCCAGAGGUCACCACACACGCCUAUACAUUGUCCACAGUAGCCACAAAAUGCACAAUUGCACAAAAGCCCCUCACUUUACAUAAAAUCCCAAUAUUUUAUGUAAAUCGGGCGAUAACAUGGCUCGUUCACGCAAACUGAGGACUUCCAAGGUCCGCCGAGACACGUACUGACAGGUCUCGACGUACUGGAGGCCGUGCUCAUGAUCUGGAGCACAAUGGCUCACUGUGGAAAGCGCGGGAGCAACCCGAAGGUUCAGCGAACAGCGCGCAGUCGGGGAAGAUUGCGCCAAACAGGGCUAACCGGACACUGUUGAUCCAAAGUGAGGCAGGCACUGUGAUCAGCACUGACCCACGAUCACCGUGCUCACCUCCGGAGGCAUCAGGACAGCCUCAGAUCGCCGGAUAAGCGUGCGCAAACCCAAAAACAGCAGCCAAACAGGCUCUAUAGGGUCGACACCGCCGAAACAGCGGAACGGAGUCUCCCCGACAGAAUCUAAGGUGAGCACGAUGAUCAGCAAUUUGCUACGAUCAUCGUGCUCCCUUCCGCAGAGACCGGGGAGGCUCGGGAAGCUCAGAACACAAAACAUCUAAAAUAAGCCCUAUUUCGGGCUUGGCCGGAGCAAGGUUGCUCCGGCCGGCUUCCGGCGGCACGGCGGCGCGCGCGGAGGCCAGGGAUGGGUGCGGGGGAGGUGAGGAGUGAGGUGCUCACCUCAGUUGGCGGCGAGGAGCGGCGGCGGCGACGACAGAACCAACCCAGCCCGCACGAGCUAAAGCUCGGUUUCCCAGGGUAGCUGCGGCCAAGGCGGCGGCCGGGGCGCUCGGGGACGGCAGCGGAAGGUUUCCUGAGGCCGGAGGGAGGCGGCACGGAUGGUUCCGGGCGGUGGCAGCGCGAGGAAGAAGCCGCGAGCUCACCUCGGCCCGCACAAGUCUGGGGCGGCCGCGGCUGGCCGAGGCGGCGACGGCGGCUCGCUGGGGUGGCGGCGACCGGCGAGGAGGGUCGCCGAGGGUGCGGGGACAGCAGCGGAAGCGGGCUCAGGCGGCGGCGGCCCGCGGGGAGGCCGUACGCAGGCCUAGGUCUGGGCUCGACCUAGGGAGCAGCAGGCGGCCAGCUCAGGUGCGGCGGCGCUCGGCGACGGCGGCGGUCGACGGGGACGCUUCGAUGAGGUCGGGGCGACGCCGGCAUGGUGCAGGGAGGCCGCUGCAGCCUCGGCCUGGGCUCUAACCCGAGAAGAAAAGAGAGAGAUGGAGAGAGAGAUGGAGAGAGAGGAAGAAAGGUGGCUGCGGCGGUGGCUGGCCGGCCGGGGUUCAGUAGGCGGCGGCCUGGGCGCAUGGCUAGGGCAGGGGAGCGAGGUGAGGGUGGCUGGGGGUUGCGGCAAGGCUAGGGUUAGGGUUUCCAAUGAGCAAACCCUAGAACAAGCUUAUAUACAUGGUGCAACUUUGCAAUUAAGUCCACCAAACCUCAGUAUUUAAUACUGAGUCCAUCACAGCGUAUGUAAAACGCGCGAACACCCCUCCAUGUGCGAUCCCACGCGAAACGGUACAUAAAAUAUUGCAACUUUUGCGAAAUUACCGUUUUGCCAUCACAGACCUCUCCUCGAUCAACGCGCAAUCUCCGCAGAUCCGUCCGUCAGAUUUGCGAACGGAUUGCACCAGUGCGAUCAGCACCUCGUAGACAACAGAUCUAUGAUUUUGGUUCACCUCGAACGGUCACGGAUUCGCGACGAAAUCCAUUCUCUCUCCAUAAGGCCAAAAUGACGCACAAUUACAUAUAAAACGCGUAUUUUUGGAUUUUCUCAAAAGCCGUGCAUCAAACUCAAAAUCCGUCAGCGCCAGUAGUCCAGAAUAGCUGAAUCCUUCGAAAUGAGCUAUUGGACUGCUAUGAACGGGGUCCGAUACGCACCAGAAGCCAACUCUACUCCAUGGCCUCUCCGGAAAAUCGGAGUUACUAUUCACUUAAGUGAAAACUAAUAAUCGUGUAUCUUCUCCGUUUUAGCUCAUUUUCUCCUGAAACUUGACGAGUGCUUAUGUAAUUAAAUUACACACAUAAACAUCGUCAACAGAGAGUUUAGUAGCACUGAAAAAAAUCUCAGUCCUUACAUCAGGCCUUGUUAUUGUGAGAUAAAUUAAGCGGCCAACGAGUCGCCUAUACACGCUAGGAUCAUCCAAAAGAUCUCUAUCAUCAAGUGUUAAAUGAAAAUUCUGCUCCAUCAGAAAAGAACAACCCUUGGCACCAAUCAUGCUUGUUUCAACAAGUAAAUCUAAAAUAUAUUUUCGUUGGCUUAGAAGAAUGCCAUCGGAAGAGCGAGCCACUUCAAUUCCUAAAAAAUAUUUUAGGCACCCCAAAUUUUUGAUAUGAAAAAGCUAUUAUGGCGGUGGGCCUCCAACAAAUACGUUCUAUAUUGUAACACACUGAACUUUAGCAAAUUACAAGGUUCGAGUGUUUGAUCUGUGUUCCGAGUUUUUUCAAGUAUUCUGGAGGGUCGUUGACAGUGUUCCGACCUAUGGCUCGCAUCCCGAGAAUCAAGGUUUAAAACGUAGCAUUAAAAUCUCUAAAGUGAAGAUUUUAGGUUGCUCUCGGGUUGGACUCUGCAGAACAGGGUAUCGGUACAGCAUUGGGCCCGUACCGGAACCAGACCUGGUACCGAUACAACAUCGGACUUGUACCGGUACCCAGUGUAUUUUUCUGCGAACCCGAGGCUCGGGUUUGCGCAGACUGCUGCUUGGUACCGGUACUCUUUUCCGUGUAUCGGUACGCAGUGCAGUGCAGACUGCACGUUGUUGGAGGGUAUUUUUGCAAAUGUUGAAACUCUAUAUAAUCCCUCCACAGCCCCUUGAGGACUCUUUUGAGCCCUAGAACGUGGAGAACUCAGGUGAGGACCCUCUCCCUUGAAUUUUCUCCCUUUUUCUUGUGAUUUAGCUUGGUUUGAUCUCCUCUUUUUGCUUCUCUUUGCUCUAUGUUGGUUUUUCUACUUUGGAGAAGCAUUGGAUUGAGGAUUGGAGCUCUUGGGAGGAAAGAUUUUCAACCCUAGCUUGUUUCUAACUUGGUUUGGAGCUUGAGGAGAGGUUAGUAUUUUAGAUCUUCUUUUUAGAUAUUGUUUUUGUGGAAUUUUUGAGAUGAAACCUAGAAAUGAGAAAUCUAGGAUUUAUUUGGGGAUUUUUGAUUUGUAGCUUUUGAAGCUUAAUUGAUUGGUUUAGAACUUUCCUCUAGGUUUGAUUAGAAGUGUUCUAACUUCCAUUUGGGAUUUGAGAGGGUUUUUCCAACAUUUAGGUGAGUUUUGACUCUAUGUUGGGUUGUUUAAUGUUAAUUCUGAGUACUUUUUCGUUACCUUGGUAUUCCUUCUGUAAUAUAUCCCAUGCUUCCUUUGAUCGAGUAGCGCCGGCAAUGUGGAAAAAUAUCGAAUCGUCAACUGAUUGUUGAAUAAAGAAAAACGUAUUUGCAUAUUUUUUCAGAUUCUCUCCGGUUGUUUCCUUGCAUCCUUUUUCGAUAAAAUCCUAUAAAUCUUGGGAUCACAGCAAUGUCCGCAUCUUCACGCACCAAAAAUCAUAAUUGUCCCCCUUGAAUAUC
rnacentral:lncRNA from 1 species